rnacentral:rRNA from 1 species
UACGGGGGGGGCAAGCGUUGUUCGGAAUUACUGGGCGUAAAGGGCUCGUAGGCGGCCAACUAAGUCAGACGUGAAAUCCCCCGGCUUAACCUGGGAACUGCGUCUGAUACUGGAGGGCUUGAGUAUGGGAGAGGGAUGUAGAAUUCCAGGUGUAGCGGUGAAAUGCGUAGAUAUCUGGAGGAAUACCGGUGGCAAAGGCGGCAUCCUGGACCAUUACUGACGCUGAGGCGCGAAAGCUAGGGGAGCAAACGGG